AAAGGGGACAAUAUCUGGUACGGU
rnacentral:miRNA from 1 species